ACCCUUUUUAAGGCUCAAAAUGGAAUGCAAAAACCAGCAAUCUCAUCAAUCUCGACCCCAAAAAUAUGAGUGUCUUCUUUUUGAUGUUGAUGAUACCCUUUACCCUCUUACUUCUGGUUUGUCAAAACAAUGCACCA